rnacentral:rRNA from 1 species
UAUUGUUUCUCGGUUCUAACCAUGCAGUCGUACAAGGUAACCUCAUCGUGGUCAGACGGCGCACGUGGGUGUAACACGUGUGUAAUCUGCCCUGGACUUCGGGAUAAGCGUGGGAAACCGGGUCUAAUACCGGAAAUGAGCUCCUGCCGCAUGGUGGGGGUUGGAAAGUUUUUCGGUGCAGGAUGAGUCCGCGGCCUAUCAGCUUGUUGGUGGGGUAAUGGCCUACCAAGGCGACGACGGGUAGCCGGCCUGAGAGGGUGAUCGGCCACACUGGGACUGAGACACGGCCCAAAUACCUACGGGAGGCAGCAGUGGGGAAUAUUGCACAAUGGGCGGAAGCCUGAUGCAGCGACGCCGCGUGGGGGAUGACGGUCUUCGGAUUGUAAACUCCUUUCAGUAGGGACGAAGCGAGAGUGUCGGUACCUGCAGAAGAAGCACCGGCCAACUACGUGCCAGCAGCCGCGGUAAUACGUAGGGUGCGAGCGUUGUCCGGAAUUACUGGGCGUAAAGUGCUCGUAGGCGGUUUGUCACGUCGUCUGUGAAAUCCUCCAGCUCAACUGGUGGCGUGCAGGGCGAUACAGGCUGACUUUGAGUACUACAGGGGAGACUGGAAAUUCCUGGUGUAGCGGUGAAAUGCGCAAAUAUCAGGGAGGGACACCGGUUGGCGGAAGGCGGGUCUCUGGGUAGUAACUGACCUCUUAGGAGCGAAACCCGGGGGAGCGAACAGCGUUAGAUACCCUGGAAGUCCAUUGACGUAAACGUUGGGCCGCUCAGGUCGUGGGGGCCCUUUCCUACGAAUUCCCGGGUGGCCGUAAGCCUU